GAACGCUAGCGGCAUGCUUAACACAUGCAAGUCGAACGGCAGAGCGGGGAGUUUAUGCUCCCUGGCGGCGAGUGGCGGACGGGUGAGUAAUACGUAGGAAUCUACCUUAUAGAGGGGGACAACCCGGGGAAACUCGGGCUAAUACCGCAUGAUCUCUAUGGAGUAAAGCGGGGGAUCUUCUGACCUCGCGCUAUAAGAUGAGCCUAUGUCGGAUUAGCUUGUUGGUGGGGUAAUUGCCUACCAAGGCGACGAUCCGUAGCUGGUCUGAGAGGAUGAUCAGCCACACUGGGACUGAGACACGGCC
rnacentral:rRNA from 1 species